UAACACAUGCAAGUCGAACGAGCGAGAGGAGGUUUACUUUCUCAAGCGAGUGGCGAACGGGUGAGUAACGCGUGAGGAACCUGCCUCAAAGAGGGGGACAACAGUUGGAAACGACUGCUAAUACCGCAUAAGCCCACGACCCGGCAUCGGGUAGAGGGAAAAGGAGCAAUCCGCUUUGAGAUGGCCUCGCGUCCGAUUAGCUAGUUGGUGAGGUAAUGGCCCACCAAGGCGACGAUCGGUAGCCGGACUGAGAGGUUGAACGGCCACAUUGGGACUGAGACACGGCCCAGACUCCUACGGGAGGCAGCAGUGGGGAAUAUUGCACAAUGGGGGAAACCCUGAUGCAGCGACGCCGCGUGGAGGAAGAAGGUCUUCGGAUUGUAAACUCCUGUUGUUGAGGAAGAUAAUGACGGUACUCAACAAGGAAGUGACGGCUAACUACGUGCCAGCAGCCGCGGUAAAACGUAGGUCACAAGCGUUGUCCGGAAUUACUGGGUGUAAAGGGAGCGCAGGCGGGAAGACAAGUUGGAAGUGAAAUCCAUGGGCUCAACCCAUGAACUGCUUUCAAAACUGUUUUUCUUGAGUAGUGCAGAGGUAGGCGGAAUUCCCGGUGUAGCGGUGGAAUGCGUAGAUAUCGGGAGGAACACCAGUGGCGAAGGCGGCCUACUGGGCACCAACUGACGCUGAGGCUCGAAAGUGUGGGUAGCAAACAGGAUUAGAUACCCUGGUAGUCCACACUGUAAACGAUGAUUACUAGGUGUUGGAGGAUUGACCCCUUCAGUGCCGCAGUUAACACAAUAA
rnacentral:rRNA from 1 species